UUCCAUCCUUGAAGACAUUCAAGGUCAGGCUGUAGCAAACUGAUCCAGCUAUAGGUGUCCCUGUUCAUUGCAGGGGAAUUGGACUAGAUGAUCUUUAAGAUGGUUCCAACUCAGACGAUUCUAUGCUUCUAUAACUCUAUAAUAGUGAUAGAUCUGUGUGGAAGAUUUUUUUAGCAUUACUUACUACAUUAGUAGCUUUUACUACAUUAGUAGCUUUUAUCUUGUGAUGCUAAGUCUCCAAAGAAUGGGCUGAUUCAGGCUUAGUCACACAUUGUCUAGAAAGGAUUAAAAAAACAAACAAACAAACAAACAAAAAAAACCCAGUUGAAUUAUGAUAUCUACUUGUUUAGUCACUUGUUCCACAGAAGGGCAAUUCUGUGCUAGACUGUACGUGAAAGCAGAUAACCUUUCCAUUUUUCCCUGCUUGGUAAUUCAUCAGGAGAUGAAUAUAGUAAGUCAAUAACUUAUCACAAGAUACUUCAUAAAACAUUUUAUUAACUGUUCUGUUGAACAGGUUUAUAGCUUAACAUAUAUUCUAUCUUCUACUACAGCAAUUUUCUUUCCUUGGGAAUUUUUGAGCAUUUUCUUUUUAAAAACAAAAAAAAAAAAAAAAAAAAAAAAAAAAAAAAAAAAAAAAAAAAAAAAAGGAUAGACAAAGGGAAUGAGAAGGCCUGAGAAACAGGUUAGCAUUGCCAUUAAUACAGCAAAAUGUAGUGUUUGAAAGAAAAGUAGUAAACUCAUAACAGGAAUUAGAGAACCAUUGAAUAUACUGAGAUGGAAGGGAUCCAUCAGCAUCACUGAAUACAACUUUUGACUCUAUGCAGGGCGACCUCAUAGUUAAAUCAUUUAACAAAGGAGGUUCACUUCCCCCUCUACACUGUCCUGCUGAGACUGCAUCUGGAGUACUGUGUCCAGUUCUGGGCUCAUCAAUUCAAGAAAGACAGGACCACAAAAAAAAAAAAGUCCUGCAGAGGGCAACAAAGAUGAUUAAGCACCUCUCUCUUGAGCAAAGGCUGAGAGAUCUGGGACUGCUGAGCCUGGAAAAGAUAAGACUGAGAGGGUAUCUUAUCUACACCUAUAAAUAUGGGCAAGUGUCAAAAGGAUGGAGCCAGGCUCUUUUCAGUAAUGCCAAGGAACAGGACAAGGUGGAAAGGGUACAAACUGGAACACAUCUUAACAUGAGGAAGAAUUCCUUUACUUUGGGGGUGACAUAGCACUGGAACAGGUCUUCCAUGGAAGUUGCGGAGUCUCCUUUUCCGGAGAUAUUCAAGACCUUCCUGAUCUAUUAUUUGAUUCUGCAUCUCUAAAGAUCUUAAUGAAGUAUUAAUUGCUCAUUCAGUCAUUUUAAACAUAACCAGCAUAACAAAAAUGAGUGCAUAAUUAAUGGAUAUGUCAAUGAAUACUAGGAUACAUAUAAAUCUUGAGCUUUUAUCACACAUACAUUAAAAAAUAUAUGUGAAUAUCACAGUACUGCAAUGAAUACCUUAGAAGCGUUACUUCUACAGAUUGCCAUAGAACACAUGACAACAGUCUGUGUUUUCUGUUAAAUAUAAUUAUUUUGACCCUGUUGUGCUUAGGCAACACACAAGCAAGUUUGACUGCCUUACUAGAGAAACAUAAGCCAUUUCUGGACUAAUUCAAAUCAAUGUAUUUUACUCAGUGCUAACCACAUAUUUCUUCUUGUUCUUACCUGUUUUAUUUAUAAAACAUUUGCUUUUAGAUAAUUGAAGGAAAAUCUGUUGUUUGUAUGUGUUUAGAUUAUCUCAGAUCGAAACAAAGUCUUAGCAGGGGGCUGCAAUGUGUCAUGCACAAACUCACGUGACACUUAAGUCUGAAAAUGAUAUUAUAGCAGACAUACUUUUCUACCUCAGUCCAAAGUUUUCUGGUUAGUCAGUAAUAACGAACACUUAAAACAGUUUGUUGUGUUUUCAUCUUGGUAUUUCUGCAGAUGUUAGAGAGAACAUUAUUUAUGCAAUACUAUAAUUAGCACACAGAGAUUUUGGGAUUCAUAGAAUCACAGAAUAUCCUGAGCUGGAAGGGAAACACAAGGAUCAUCGAGUCCACUUCCUUGUUCCACACAGGACAAUCCAAAAUUCAAACUAUAUUCUGAGAGCAUAGUUCAAACCUUUCUUGAACUCCAGCAGCUCAGUGCUAUGACCAUUGCAUUGGAGAGCCCAUUCCAGUGCCUGACCACUCUCUGAGGAAAAAUCUUUUCCUAACUCCAAAUCUGACCUCCCCUCUCCAUAAAGCAGCAUUCCCUCAAGUUCUGUUGCAAUCAGCAGAGAUAAGGGAUAAGCACCUCUACUCUCUUUAUACAAGCUAUUUGAGAAGCAAUAAGGAAGAACUAGAAAUACAAUGGCUGUGUGCAUUUCUGGUGCUUUUGGGACAUGCUUUGCCUACCAAAUGUUUGGUAGUUUCUGAAAAGAUAUGCAUAAACAACAUACAUAUGGAGCAUAUCUGCAUAUUUCAUCACCAAAUAACAGCAAAAUAAUAAUGUAAUUAGGAUGUCUCUUGGCCAUGUGAUAGGUAACAAAAUUGAGAGAGAAGUUGAAAACUAACAAAGAUAAAGCAAAAAAAUUAAAAAAUAGCACAACAACAAUUACUCUUCUAAGAGAAAAAGAGAAAAUAAAAGAAAUAUAUGGAGUAGAAAGAAUACAAACUUUUAAGGUCAUAACUGAAACCACCACCCAUGGUAAACUGCAGAGAUCUCUGUUUAUUUACUUCGGACAGAUGAAAGCCUGAGUCACCCAUGAGCCAGUGACACAAACCUUGGGUAGGGUGAUAUCCUACCUCAUUCCUCACUCAUCUGAUGCCAGAAAUAUGUUACAAGCAGGAGGUAUAAAAAAUGAGCAGACAAGUUUCUGGGAAAGCUGCAGUCUUUUGUGUUCAAAUGAAAACAAAACCUGUAAACCCUGUGAAAACCAAUGAAAACGAAAUGGCUGGUUAGAGUUCAGCUAGCUGUUUACUUGUGGAGCACUGAAAGAGAAUCACUUCUGCACUUCAAUGAGAUCAACACUCCUAUGAGAUCAAACAUUUUACAUCUACAUACAAACCUGCCUGUAUACCCAGCCUUUCACAUCUGACCUCCCACUCUUUUCCCAGUAAAGCACCCUACUAAACUGAAAAGGAUCAGUUAGAGGAAAAAUAAAACCACAUACACACCCACUUCACAUAUUUACAUAUUCUCUGGACCUUGGGACCAAACUCCAUUAUUCUCACUGAAUGAUUGUUCUUCCUUUAAGAGAAAGGUCUCAGGUGGAUAUUUCCAGAUCUAAAUUCCAAUUGUGGACUUAGCUUCUAAGUCCACUUAUAGAAUUUACUAUAAAGAAGCCUGAACUGAGCUGCCACCCAUGAGAGGACCCAUGCUGGAGCAGUUUCCUUCUGAAGGAUGGGGUCCUGUGGUACAGAUUGAUGUUGCAGCAGUUUCAAAAUCACAGAAUGGUUUAGAUUGGAAGGUACCUUCUGGAAGUCUUGAAGAACUGCAGCCUGUGGUAAGCUCACAUUGGAUCUGUCAGUGACGUACUGCAUCCCAUGGAAUAGACCCCACAAAGGAGGACUGAAGAGUGAGGAUAAAGAGUGGCAAUGAUGAAGCACUAUGAACUGACUGCAUCCCUGUUUCACAGAGUCUCUUGGGGGGAGGAGAUAGAAAAAGAUGGUGAUUUUAGUUUGCUCUCAUUUAUCACUAAUUGUCAGGAAAUUACACUAACCUUCUCCAUGCUGAGUCUGUUUUGCCCAUGGCUAUAAUUGGUGGGGGAUCUCCUUAUCUAAUUCUCAAUCCAUGAACUUUUCCUUGGUAUUUUUCUCCCUCUGUCCUUUUUGAGGAAGGAAAGUGAGAGAGGUUCUGUGUUGGUGCUUAGCUGCCUAUUGGUGUUAAGCCACAACACAUAACACAAUGGUAAUGUUUUUGCAUGCUUCCCCUCAUUUCAUUUUCUGUUUUGUUCAGUUUUGUAAGAGCAUGCCCAUCUCCACCAGUAUUCCAGAAGUUUUAACAAGAAACACACUACUGAUGUUUACAGAGCCUUCUACACAUAUCUUUUAUCUUGCUUUUAAGGAUAAAUAACACAAGAAUUUUGCUCUGUGCUAUGCAAUUUCAAUCAGUCCUCACCAGGAUAACAAAAGGCUAGUUACGCAGGCUCUAUUUCAAAGUAAACAAGUUGAAUGUUGGGAGCUAAUGAUAGAUGUUAAAGCCAAGAAAAACCAUGAACUCAUAUAACUUUCUUUAGUCUACACAAGUAAACAACACUUUCCAGAAAACCAUUCAGAAAUGAAAUAUCUACAUUUUCAUUUGGUUCUAUUGUUUAUUAUACAGUAACAAAGUAUGUAAUAUUUCUCUGUUGAAUUUGUACACCAUCAUGUUCAAGUCAUUAUUUCUUAUGCCUCAUUUGAUGAAAAAGCCCUGAAUACUCUUUGUGAAGGUACUUAUUUAUUCUAAUCAAGACAACCCAGACCAUACGGCAAGCUGAGCAAGACCACUCAGUCUCUCUGUAAGACAUCUCCUGAAGCCAUUUUCUGUAUUCCCUCCUGAAAUUAUUACAUUUCUAAACUAACCAAUGUACAUAUCUUAUUUAGCACUGCUCUUUUCAAUAUAAAAUGCCAACAAUCUUGGCAAAACAGUACUUCUCAAGGACUGAGAACCCUCUCUUCCACACACUGUCAUCAUCUUCUGUUUAAUAUGAACUGAUAGAAUACUCUCCUUACCUUGAUUGUUACUUUAUGUAGCUGUACUUCACGUAAUAUAAAGUGAUUAUAAGUGUAA